AAUAAGUGCAGCCGUGGAUAUUUGUGCCCAACGUUUGACCGUCCGUUUUAUUUGAAAAAUUUGCAAAAAAUUUAAAAAUAUUUAGUCACACAUAAAGUACUAUUUAUGUUUAUCAUCUAAUAGCAAUAAAAAUACUAAUAAAAAAAUUUUUAAAUAAAACGAAUAGUUAAACGUUGAAUGUGAAUAGUGCAAAACUACACUUAUU
rfam:Oryza glaberrima chromosome 1 Oglab01_unplaced072_12, whole genome shotgun sequence.